rnacentral:tRNA from 1 species
GCCCUCGUAGCUCAGCGGAUAGAGCACUGGCCUCCGGCGCCAGGUGUCGCAGGUUCAAUUCCUGCCGAGGGCGCCA